rnacentral:snRNA from 1 species
AUCGCUUCUCGGCCUUUUGGCUAAGAUCAAGUGUAGAAAUCUCUCCAACACAAGCUAGUUGGUAUACAUAUUUUAGGUAUAUCCAUACAACACUCUUGCUGGCUACAAUAUCGCUUGGUUUCUUUAUAUUCUGCCCACACUUUCUAAAAUAUUCAUUUAUGAAACUUUG